CUCCUGGGUGUCAUGGAAACAGUUUCCAGGCCCCCAAGCACGUGGAGUUAGACGUGCGGGUGGAAUCUUGGCUUGUAACUCCUGGGGCAGCUGACAGUGUCCACGAACCCCCGGGUGGGGCCGGAACCUUUAGCCGCUAACCCCUAACCCCCCCCCACACCAUGCCCCCCCACCCAUCUCUGUUUUAAGUUAAAUGCCCUGGGCUCGCUCUGUAAACGUGGAGCUGAGAGGAACCACCAGGCAGCCUCUCCCUCUCCUUCUGGAACCUUCUCCCAACAGUGAUGGCUGCCACAGAGCAGGGGCUGGAGGCCAUGACCCUGUACUCUGGAGCAGGGAUGGAUUGAGCACCUACUGUGUACCAAGCACUGCCCCCCCCCCCAAGAUAGCAGUGACCGAACCAGACCGAGAAACCCGCCGGAAAGCAAAACCCAGAAAACUCUCGGGCCUCGGUGGCCUCAGGCUUCAUGUCAAAUUAACACGUGGGUAAAUAAGAUACUUUCCAAGCAGCCUCGAGGUUCGGGGACCCCAGACCCACCGAGACUUUUCUCUGAGGCAAGACCAACGUUUGCGCGGCCAGCUCCAGAGGGGAUCUCCCGGCCGUCUGGGGGAGAGG